UGCAAGUCGAACGGUAACAGCAGAGCUUGCUCUGGCUGACGAGUGGCGGACGGGUGCGUAACGCGUGGGAAUCUACCUUAUAGUGGGGGAUAGCCCGGAGAAAUCCGGAUUAAUACCGCAUAAGCCCUACGGGGGAAAAGGGGCCUCUACUUGUAAGCUCUUGCUAUUGGAUGAGCCUAUGUCGGAUUAGUUAGUUGGUGAGGUAAUGGCUCACCAAGACAGCGAUCCGUAGCUGGUUUGAGAGGAUGAUCAGCCACACUGGGACUGAGACACGGCCCAGACUCCUACGGGAGGCAGCAGUAGGGAGUAUUGGACAAUGGGCGCAAGCCUGAUCCAGCAAUGCCGCGUGUGUGAAGAAGGCCUGCGGGUUGUAAAGCACUUUCAAUUGGGAAGAAAGAUUUAGAGUUAAUACCUCUUAAUAUUGACGUUACCAAUAGAAGAAGCACCGGCUAACUCUGUGCCAGCAGCCGCGGUAAUACAGAGGGUGCGAGCGUUAAUCGGAAUUACUGGGCGUAAAGCGUACGUAGGCGGUUUAGUAAGUCAGAUGUGAAAGCCCUGGGCUCAACCUGGGAACUGCAUUUGAUACUGCUGAACUAGAGUAUGGUAGAGGGAAGUGGAAUUCAGGGUGUAGCGGUGAAAUGCGUAGAUAUCCUGAGGAACACCAGUGGCGAAGGCGACUUCCUGGACCAAUACUGACGCUGAGGUACGAAAGCGUGGGUAGCAAACAGGAUUAGAUACCCUGGUAGUCCACGCCGUAAACGAUGUCAACUAGUCGUUGGGAGCAUCUUUCCGUUUAGUGGUGCAGCUAACGCACUAAGUUGACCGCCUGGGGAGUACGGCCGCAAGGCUAAAACUCAAAUGAAUUGACGGGGGCCCGCACAAGCGGUGGAGCAUGUGGUUUAAUUCGAUGCAACGCGAAGAACCUUACCUACCCUUGACAUCCAGAGAAUCUGUUAGAGAUAGUAGAGUGCCUUCGGGAAUUCUGUGACAGGUGCUGCAUGGCUGUCGUCAGCUCGUGUCGUGAGAUGUUGGGUUAAGUCCCGUAACGAGCGCAACCCUUGUCCUUAGUUGCCAGCACGUAAUGGUGGGAACUCUAAGGAGACUGCCGGUGAUAAACCGGAGGAAGGUGGGGAUGACGUCAAGUCAUCAUGGCCCUUAUGGGUAGGGUUACACACGUGCUACAAUGGCCGGUACAGAGGGCAGCUAACCCGCGAGGGGGCGCAAAUCCCAGAAAGCCGGUCGUAGUCCGGAUCGGAGUCUGCAACUCGACUCCGUGAAGUCGGAAUCGCAAGUAAUCGCGAAUCAGCAUGUCGCGGUGAAUACGUUCCCGGGCCUUGUACACACCGCCCGUCACACCAUGGAAGUGGGUUGCAAAAGAAGUGGGUAGCUUAACCUUCGGGAGGG
rnacentral:rRNA from 1 species